rnacentral:lncRNA from 1 species
GAUUAGGAUGUAAUGGCCUUGCAGCUUUAAAGCCUGGCUGUUUCCUCCCUGAGUGAAUUUUUUGUUGGGAGGUGUUAGCUGGCAGUAAUUACUGUAUUUUAGAAUUUAGCACCAAAAUAUCACGAUAUAUUGAAAGCAUUGACUACAAAAAUGCGUUGGAUAAUCCAGAACGUUGGAUAAGCGAGUGUUGGAUAAGUGAGACUCUACUGUAAAUACUACAUAGCAUUACUGCGCAUGGAACUACUUUUUCUGUCAAAUUUGUUGUAUAAUAUGAUGUUUUGGUGCUUAAUUUGUAUAACGAAUACCUAAUUUGAUGUUUAAUUGGCUUUUCCUGAAUCCCUUCUUAUUAUCCAACAUAUUCACUUAUCCUGCCGGCCUGUUUACGUUGGAUAAUAAGAAGGGAUUCAGGAAAAGCCUAUUAAACAUCAAAUUAGGUAAUCGUUAUACAAAUUAAGCACCAAAACAUCAUAUUAUACAACAAAUUUGACAGAAAAAGUAGUUCCAUGCACAGUAAUGCUAUUUAGUAAUUACAGUAGAGUCUCACUUAUCCAACACUCGCUUAUCCAAUGUUCUGGAUUAUCCAAUGCAUUUUUGUAGUCAAUGUUUUCAAUAUAUCGUGAUAUUUUGGUGCUAAAUUCAUAAAUACAGUAAUUACUACAUAGCAUUACUGUGUAUUGAACUACUUUUUCUGCCAAAUUUGUUGUCUAACAUGAUAUUUUGGUGCUUCAUUUGUAAAAUCAUAACCUAAUUUGAUGUUUAAUAGGCUUUUCCUUAAUGCCUCCUUAUUAUCCAACAUAUUCGCUUAUCCAAUAUUCUGCCGGCCCGUUUAUGUUGGAUAAGUGAGACUCUACUGUAUUUACAAAUUUACCACUAAAAUAUCACAAUGAAUUUAAAACACUGACUACAAAAACAUUGAUUAUGAAAAGGCAGACUGCGUUGGAUAAUCCAGAACAUUGUAUAAGUGAAUGUUGGAUAAGUGAGAUUCUACUUCAAUAUGAAAUAAUUACUGGGAUAGAAUAAUGCAGAACAAUAUAAUCUCUAAAACCAGGACAGUAAAUAAACAGAGAAAUUCCACACAGGAAACAAUCAGGGCCAGCUAACACCUCCCAACAAAGUAUUCCCAUCAUCAAAGUCUGGCAAAUCCUGUUUUCUCAGGGCCACAGACAGUAGAAGCACAUAAAAUAUCGCAAACAACACCACACUGAAAACAAGGGAAUUCCAGACAGGAAACAAUUAGGGCCAGCUAACACCUCCCAACAAAAAAUUCACUCAGG